rnacentral:rRNA from 1 species
CGCCGGAAAUCUCACCGGGGGCAACAACAUGAAGAAGGCCAGGCUGAAGACCUUGCCUGAUCCGCUGAGAGGUGGUGCAUGGCCGUCGUCAGUUCGUACUGUGAAGCAUCCUGUUAAGUCAGGCAACGAGCGAGACCCACGCCCACAGUUGCCAGCGAGCCCUUCGGGGUGGCGGGUACUCUGUGGGGACCGCCGCUGCUAAAGCGGAGGAAGGAAUGGGCAACGGUAGGUCAGUAUGCCCCGAAUCUCCCGGGCUACACGCGGGCUACAAUGGUUGGUACAAUGGGUAUCUACCCCGAAAGGGGAAGGAAAUCUCUUAAAGCCAAUCGUAGUUCGGAUUGAGGGCUGCAACUCGCCCUCAUGAAGCUGGAAUCCGUAGUAAUCGCGUUUCAACAGAACGCGGUGAAUACGUCCCUGCUCCUUGCACACACCGCCCGUCAAACCACCCGAGUAGGGUCCGGAUGAGGGUGUAUUAUAUUGAUACAUUCGAAUCUGGGCUUUGCAAGGGGGGUUAAGUCGUAACAAGGUAACCAAGGGCGAAU